ACACGACUACAUUAGAUACCCGUGUAGUCCUAGCCGUAAACGAUACUCGCUAGGUGUCGGCCACGGUGCGACCGUUGUCGGUGCCAUAGGGAAGCCGUGAAGCGAGCCACCUGGGAAGUACGGCCGCAAGGCUGAAACUUAAAGGAAUUGGCGGGGGAGCACCACAACGGGUGGAGCUUGCGGUUUAAUUGGAUUCAACGCCGGAAAUCUUACCGGGACCGACAGCAACAUGAAGGCCAGGCUGAAGACUUUGCCGGAUUAGCUG
rnacentral:rRNA from 1 species